rnacentral:rRNA from 1 species
UCUUGGUCCAUUAGAGGAAGUAAAAGUCGUAACAAGGUUUCCGUAGGUGAACCUGCGGAAGGAUCAUUAUUGAAAUAAACCUGAUAAGUUGCUGCUGGUUCUCUAGGGAGCAAUGUGCACACUUGUCAUCUUUAUAUUUUCUCCUGUGCACCUUUUGUAGACCUGAGUAUCUCUCUGAAUGCUUGUUUAGCAUUUAGGAUUGAGAAUUGACUUUGUUGUCUCUUCUUAUAUUUUUAGGUCUAUGUUUCUUCAUAUACCCUAAUGUAUGUUUAUAGAAUGUAAUUGAUAGGCCUUUGUGCCUAUAAACCUUUACAACUUUCAGCAACGGAUCUCUUGGCUCUCGCAUCGAUGAAGAACGCAGCGAAAUGCGAUAAGUAAUGUGAAUUGCAGAAUUCAGUGAAUCAUCGAAUCUUUGAACGCACCUUGCGCUCCUUGGUAUUCCGAGGAGCAUGCCUGUUUGAGUGUCAUUAAUAAUAUCAACCUUUUUGGUUGGAUGUGGGUUUGCUGGCCACUUGACAAGAGGUCAGCUUCCCUUAAAUGCAUUAGCGGACAACAUUUUGCCAACCGUUAUUGGUGUGAUAAUUAUCUACGCUAUUGACGUGAAGCAAGGUUCAGCUUCUAACAGUCCAUUGACUUGGACAACCCUCUUUUUAUUAAUGUGACCUCAAAUCAGGUAGGACUACCCGCUGAACUUAAGCAUAUCAAUA